rnacentral:tRNA from 1 species
AUGGAAAUCUCUUUAAUUUUUAGAUAGUAUAGGGGCGGAUGUAGCCAAGUGGAUCAAGGCAGUGGAUUUGUGAA